rnacentral:rRNA from 1 species
UACGUAGGGGGGCAAGCGUUUGUCCGGAAUCAUUGGGCGUAAAGCGCGUGUAGGCGGCCCGGUAAGUCCGCUGUGAAAGCCCCGGGGCUCACCCCCGGAAGUGCAUUGGAAACUGUCAGGCUCGAGUCCCGGAGAGGAGGGUGGAAUUCCUGGUGUAGCGGUGAAAUGCGUAGAUAUCAGGAGGAACACCGGUGGCGAAGGCGGCCCUCUGGACGGUGACUGACGCUGAGACGCGAAAGCGUGGGGAGCAAACAGG